UGAAAGAAGCCUGAAAUAUCCAAGUGCUGCAAAAUGAUGAAGGCCGUGCUUGCUCUUGUUUUGGCUAUGGCAGCCAUCGCUUGCGCCUCCACCGGCGUCGAUGUCAUUCGCCACACUCCCGGAUAUGAUGGCUUCUACGGUCUCUACGGAUAUGCACCAUAUUAUUACGGAUACGGAAACGGAUAUUUCGGAUAUGAUGAACUUGGUUUUGGACCUUACAACUACUAUGGUCUUGGAUACCGAGGAUACUUGGGAGGACUCGGUUAUUAUGGUUAUUUUUAAACACCAAUUACCAGAAUUUGAUAAUCCACUUCAGAAACGAUAAUUAUCUGUAGUAUGAAUCAAUUAUCCAGAAUAAAAUCUUGAAACAUC